UAAUUGCACGAAAUACGACAACUCCUACCAGCAAACCAGCGCUGAUAACGAAGUACCUAACUAUAGUGGUCAUAUAAACGCUCACGCUGCAGUGUGAACUAGCUACCUAUCGCAUUUUUGUGUUGAAUAAAUUCUAUAAGUAAGUAAGUAUACCUGCUUUACGUAUACCUACUUGGGUGUUGGGUGUGUUUUUCGACCAUAUCAACUCUUUCACGCGAAAUAAGUAUUUCGAAAUUUGAAUUCUCUGGUCUUUCGUAUGGCUUCGCUUCCGGUUGCCCGUGGAGUUCAUUUAAGAUCUCAGACUGAAUUUUCAUAGCCUCAAAUCGCAUCAGGACUAAUUGCACGGAAACUGAAACUUGCUGAAUUUUUCUGACCCGAAUAACGAAGUGGUGAAUAACAAAAUGAUGACAAAAGCCAAAUAUUUUGCACUAAUAUUCAUCUUAACAAGAACUAUAUUGACUGUAACAUGCUUUGGAACCCUAAAAAUCGAAACCUACAAUCCACAACAAAAAGCAUUGUUCCCCACUUCUGCAAGUCUAAUCGAAGGAUUCGCAGAAGCAAUACAGAUGGACGCAGAGUUCACUCUACCAGACGGUGAAAAAGUUGCAGAAAGGAUUAAAGCGAGUAGAAAAAAACUCAAGCUAAUUAUCAUCAGCUGUGGUGAUCCAGAUUACUACUUUGGUCUUCAAUCUAUCGUGAAAUACUACCCAGAUGUAAAAAUUGUAGCUUCUGCCAAAGUAGUGGAACAUAUCAAAGCAACCAAAGACGAAAAACUAAAAACAUACGCUCCAAUGUUGAAAGACAAAGCACCCACUAAAUUAUACGUACCGGAGGUUAUCGACAGUACGUACUUCUCUCUGGAUUUUCAACCGAUUGUGUUGAAAAGUGAGAAGAAUUAUGCAGCUUAUUAUCAUAUUCCUUUCCAAAGUACUAUUCUUGGUGGAGUUGGUGUUUCUUCGGAGAUCUACCCGUUCACAGCAGAUACCAACACUACGGAAAGUCGAGAAGGUUGGAGGAAGGUUCUUCAAGAAAUGAUUGAUCUUAAACCCAAAACAGUGAUUCCAGGACAUUAUCUUGGUAAACCGCCGGAUGGGGAUGAAGCAAUCAAGUUCACUUUGAAAUAUCUGGUGGACUAUGAAAAGGCCUUGAAAGAAAAUAAGAAUUCCGCUGGUGUGAUUCGAGAAAUGAAGAAACUUUAUCCAAAUCUUGGCCUGGCAAGUAAUUUAGAGCUUGGUGCUAAAGUGAAUAAGGGGGAGAUGCAGUUUUCAAGAUGAGAAAAAUAAUUGUAAGCUAAAUAAUUCCAUUUUCAUGAAAUGCUCAUGCUUAUACCAAUUCAUGACCUUGUAAAAUAAAAAAAAUAAAAUUAUCACCGAAAAA